rnacentral:lncRNA from 1 species
CUAGGAUUAUAGACCUAUAUAGCCAGCUCUAUUGGAAAUUUUCUUUUAAUGUGACUUGUCUGAGGAAAAAUGCCAAAAGAGGAAGCAGAGGAAAGAAAAGGAGUCAGGAAUGGCUCUUAUUCAACCAUAUAAAACCUACAAAGUAUCAGUUCCUAUCUUACUGAGGAGAUAACAGUGUCACAUUGUAGAAACUGCUCAGAUCAAAAAGCUAAACAUUGGAGAGUGAACAGUUGACUUCCAGAUGUCUAAGAACUGGAAUUGAACCUAAAGCAUCAAACAGUCAAGUAGCAGAGCAUGAAAAGCAAGUUGACAGAUAGCUCAAGUGAGGAAGGUUGAAGCAAGUUCAAGGAGAAGAACACAGAACUUCAAAACAGGUCUCUAUUGUAGGGGCACAUACUACAUUACAAUUAUUGUUAGUGUCAAUUCAAUAUGAUAGCAGACAGCAAAUUUAAGGCAAUAGAAAAUAUGAUAUAAUUUCAAUGAGUAAAAACAUAAAAUUAUCUGAUAAAAACCAUGUGCAUAAACAUCCAUGCAUGCAUGACAAACAUCACAUUUACAUACCAAAAUCAAGUGAAAUAAGAGGACUUGUCUCUUAAUGAUAUAUUUCCCCCAGUGAUCUUUUUUAUCACCAUUUUUGGGACAAUAAAAAUUAUGAUUUUUAAUUAUCGCAUUUGCAGAUAAAUGGAGUUGGGAGAAUAUCAUGCUAAGUGAAAUAAGCCAAUCCCCCCAAAACCAAUGGCCAAAUGUUCUCUCUGAUAAGUGGAUGCUUAUCCAUAACGGGGGUGGG